rnacentral:lncRNA from 1 species
AUGAACACCAUGUUAAUUCGCAGAUCACCCUGUAGCAGGUCUUCUAAUUCUGCGCCAAAAGCUUCUGUUUCUGGGUCCAAUUCUUCACCAAAUUCCAUUAAUUCUUCCCCGUAUUCUUCCGUCCAGUCAUCCUGCUCUGCUGCUCCGAGGGGUUCAUUCUGAUCAUCUGCAGAAGGUUCGUAGUCCAAUUGCUCAUCUUCAUAUUCCUCAGUGUAGUCGUCUUCUCCUUGUAACGAGGUAGACCCGAAUUUCUCUGGUGCCUGCGUGGUGUCGGGACGACUG